CCUUGCGAGCGGCUCGACCGGGGCUCCCAGGACGCCGGCCCCUGCGCCUGACGGCGGGGCUCGCGUCCGCUGCUCUGGGACCGCUGCUCUGAGGGGGACACCUUGAAGGUUUCUUCUCCCCGGCUCCUAAUGAAACGGUAAAACCGUCCGGCUGGAAACAUUCCUAGAGAUGAUCUCGCCGACCACCACGUUUUUAUUAACGGGACGAUUGAGAAGACGGGAGGCGACGGAGGUAGGACUCCGGAGUCGAACGAGCCGGGGUUUGACCCGUGCGAGCAAGGGCGCGCGACCGGGUGUCCUCGAGCCUUUGUUUUCUUCGUCUGCCUCCUAGAGUUGGUCGUACGCCCCCCCUCACCGAUCUGUUUCAAAAGGCAUGAGGGAUAAAUAAUAAAUAAUGAAUAAAUAAAUAAAUAAAUAAAUAAAUAAAUAAAUAAAUAAAUAAAUAAAUAAAUAAAUAAAUAAUAAAAGGCAUGAGGACACUAGCGCCGGGAGGCGAGCACGGAGAAAGCGUUCGUUUUUGUAGUGCCAGUAGACAUCUUCUGAAUUAAAAAAAUAAACACUUGCACUAAGCUCACAGACUACGUAGAGAAAUGAAGAAGACCUUUCCUCUUUCCAGUAUUGGUGCCUGGCCAGAAAUUUAGUGUAUAUUAAGGCUAUUUUUUAGUGACUGUUGUCGAAAGAAGUUGCUUCUAAAUUAAUCCUGAGAAUUGAAACACCAGGUGGUUUUAGCAGAGUCUGAGUUGGCACUGAUGAUUCUGGUUAUGAAAAUCAAAACCAUUAAGGAAGAAAAGUCUUAGCACUGGACCUCCAUAGCUGUGGAGCAGGCACUUGGGGGCACCAGCCACUGCUGAAUGCUUUGGGCAGCUAUCAGAAGCCCAUCUGCCCUUUAAGCCUCAACAGAACAGAGGGACUUCUACACAGAGGUGGAGCUGGAGCAGGCAGGAAGAAAAUGGUGGUGAAGACAACUAUUCUGCAGGUGCACUUGGAGGCUUCACAAAACCAUUUGGGGAGAGAUAAAGAAGUUUGACUUUUCUGCAGAAUGAAUGGAUGCAGAGCCAAAGAAUUACUGUUUUGCAACUGUUGUUGCAGCUCUUUAUUUACUGUAAAGGAUGAUGUUGCCUAACAAACAGGUCUACAAAAGAAGAGCAUUUAUUGCUAAGGUAUCGCUGAAGCUCUUUAAAAUCUGUUAAAGAUAAAAUGUAAAAUAUAAAAAUAUAUAAAAUAUGUACACAUACUCCAAAUACAAUUUAAUAACCUGAGUCAAAAAGUGUAUUUUUUAAUAUAAAGGUUAAAAUUAAGUUAGUACAUAGAUGCCAGAAGUCCCUUUCAUUAUAA